rnacentral:rRNA from 1 species
GACAUUUGGUAGAGACUGUUGAAGCCACCUGGUCCCAGCAGACCCCAGAAAAUGGCCACUUUCGUUGGUGUUGGAACAAGGUCAUUAAGAGUGAACUCUGAUGCCAGAUGUGU